UACGUAGGGGGCAAGCGUUAUCCGGAAUCAUUGGGCGUAAAGCGCGUGUAGGCGGUUCCGUAAGUCCGCUCUGAAAGCCCAGGGCUCAACCCUGGGAGGCGGGUGGAUACUACGGAACUGGAGUACGGAAGAGGAGAUUGGAAUUCCUGGUGUAGCGGUGAAAUGCGCAGAUAUCAGGAAGAACACCCGUGGCGAAGGCGGCUCUCUGGAACGCAACUGACGCUGAGACGCGAAAGCGUGGGGAGCAAACAGG
rnacentral:rRNA from 1 species